AUCAUAACGGACACACAGAUUUCAAAGGCAGCAGGAUGAAAGAUAUGUGUCUGUGUUCAUCAAGACAUGAAGACUCUGGAGUGGGACAAGAGAAGGAUGAUGGGGUGUAUAUUCAAAUAGACACAUUAAGUCACAUUGUGAUUUCAGUGAAAGCAGAUAAAUACAGAGGGCUGGACAGUGGUUUCAUUCAUUAGGUAAAGAGGUGGGACAAGGAUGCUGACAGGACAGGAGGAGGUGACAUUCAGACAUUCAACGCAGACAUUUUCAUCCAAAGCAACUUGAGGAAGAAAACAGAAGCAGUUCAUCCUAAAAGUGGGCUGCUGUAAUGUUUACAUCUAUGGAAAGAGGAGCUGAGAAGAAAAGAGAGGCUGGAAAGCAGUACUUCUUGUUGAGGACAAUCCUGAAUAGGAACACUUUCUCAUACACAUAGAUUAUUAUUAGUGUUUGAUUGUUUGUUUCAUUUUUAUGAAUUGUAUUGUUUUAAUUUUUCGUUUUAUUUGAAAUUACCUAAGUUAGAUUCAUGCUAAUACUUUAACUGGACCUUGUAUCUUUGCUGGCUGGCUGG